AGGUGCCACAAGAUCCCUUGAUGCUUUUAUUCCAUUCUUCUGUUGCCUUCAUCAAUGCAUGACACUUGAAGAAAGAAAACAAAGGUUUGCUGCCUCCCCUGGUCUGAGCCUUGUCUUCUCAAAGCAGCUUUCCAUUCAUGAAAAGGGACAAGAUAGCCUCAGUGAAAUGGAAGAAAAAUGGAAAAGGCAUAAUUCCUGCAAAGACAAGCCUAUCUUUUUGUUUUGCCUGUUACAUUCCAAUGCUUUGAGAAAUAAAUUCUCAACCAAAAAAGCUUUC